UAAUAAAAAAUGUCUCUUAUUCUUUCAGAGGUUGAAUCUCAACACAACAAGACACAACAGAAUGCAGAACCUGAGGGACUUUAUCAAACACUCCAGCCAACGACUGAGGAGCAAGUCUACAGCAGCCUCACAGUGAUGGAGCAGAACUCCUCACAGCCGUCACCACAUCCACUCACUCUCUAACUGCUGAAGUCUCACUCUAUGUGUUAAGUUGAUGAUCUGAUGAACGGAAAUGAUGAAUGCAGUGAUUUUGUUUGUUUCUAAUUUUUCUAUUGUGCAAUAUUAUGCUACAGUACAUGUAGACAAAAUCUAUUUAAUGGUUACAUUGUCAGUAAUCAUUACAGGGUAACAAGGUUAACAAAAAAUUUAGAAAGUUACUUCUUCCAUUUUAGGAUGAGGAAGAGCUUUUUUUAUAUUAUAUUUUAAUUUAUAACAACCUCAACUCAAAAUCAGCCACUUUUUGCUUUUUGUUCAAAUUAAGAAUAAAAUGGUUUUCGGCUUUCAUGUGUGGUUGUACACAUUUUCUACAAUAUUUACUAUUGUGUGUCCUUACUACUGUAGACUGGCUGGUUAUAUGUUGGGUGUCCAUGUUGGGUAACAGGUAGGAUUAGGCCUGUAGGGAUGCAGUGUUUUAAGGAGCGGUGUCCUCACACAGAAGGACACAGCUGGUGUGUCUGUGAGUCAGAGGGAGGAGUUUUGACCUAAUCGAGGGUAAAGAGGAAAAGGAAGUUAUCCUCUGCAGAGACAGUCGUGAACUCAGCCUCAUUCCUUUUUACUAGUGUUUGUGAGCGUUGUCAGUUUCACAAUGAUGAAAGUCUGUGUGUGGACCGUGUGUCUGUUUACUGCUCUGACUGUCGGGGUGAAGAGUCUAACACAAACAGGUUACGUUGGAAAAAAUGUAACAUUCCACUGCUCAGACUGGAAGGGUUUCAUUUGGAGUAAUGUGAAAUCUUACGUUAAGUACAUUUGUAACAACCCAUGUACAAAAGACGAACAUGUGAUCAUGAAAGUAAAACCUGGAGAGACUAAACAUGAGAACAGAAUAUAUUUAUUCAACAACGGAGUAACUUUGUCUGUGACCUUCAUUAAUCUCCAGAAGUCAGACUCUAGGACAUAUUACUGUGGACUGGAUGAGAAUUUACGAGAGUCAUUAAUAGAAGUGAACCUUAACGUUAGAGAUGCAUUGAUUCCUGGUCCACAGACAACAGUUAGAACAGUCAGUGUCUGGUCAAGCUCCACUGUGUCUUCAAACAGCAAAGAUAUUACUUCAGAUAUUUCACCAUUGUUCACCACACGUCAGUCAACAGCAGCUGCUGCAUCGGAAGCACAUAAAGAAGAAGGAAAUGGUAGGAUGUGCAAGUUUUAUUUUAUUAGUGAAGAUGUAAAACAGCAGUGA
rnacentral:lncRNA from 1 species